UACGUAGGGGGCAAGCGUUGUCCGGAUUUACUGGGCGUAAAGAGCGUGUAGGCGGCCAAGCAGGUCCGUUGUGAAAACUGGAGGCUUAACCUCCAGACGUCGACGGAAACCGCGUGGCUAGAGUCCGGAAGAGGAGAGUGGAAUUCCUGGUGUAGCGGUGAAAUGCGCAGAUAUCAGGAAGAACACCAAUGGCGAAGGCAGCU
rnacentral:rRNA from 1 species